UUCGACAGUCCUUCCGGAACACAAUGCGCAUGUGCACACCUCGGCGCUCCUCAUUGGCUGAGAUAGAACAGAGGAGGAGUUUGUGGCGGGGUUCCUUCCAAGCCAAUGUCGGGUUUCAAGUAAACUGCAGCUCUCAGGCCACGGACGCCCAUACUUUAACAGACACUCGCACGGUUGGCCAGGGUUCGAGGCCAAGCACCAGUAGCCAGGGGUCCACCCAUAACAACAUCAUCAGAAGAAUUGACGGCCCAAGCACCACAGGUUUCGAUUGAUCAGCCGAAAGACAUUACUAAUGUGUAAUAGUUUUAGGGCUUUUUCCCAGCGAGAGGUCAAUCGGGUCAUUUAAUGUAUAUCUCUUGAAGUAGGAUUGUGGCUGAUACACUGAUAAUUAUUUAUGUGUCGUGGGCGAAGCUUCUGACUACAAGUAGUAUUCUUAUGACUUUAAUAAGUUAUAUGGAUACUAGCAGUACGUCCUAUUGCAGUAUCAAUAAAUUUCAUGGCGUGUUCCCCUGAUGUUGUGAUGUAUAAAUUGUAGAUAUUUUUUAAUAAAGUUGUGGAAAAACCAAAAACAA